UACGAAGGGGGCUAGCGUUGCUCGGAAUUACUGGGCGUAAAGCGCACGUAGGCGGCUUUCUAAGUCGGGGGUGAAAUCCUGGAGCUCAACUCCAGAACUGCCUUCGAUACUGGAGAGCUUGAGUCCGGGAGAGGUGAGUGGAACUGCGAGUGUAGAGGUGAAAUUCGUGGAUAUUCGCAAGAACACCAGUGGCGAAGGCGGCUCACUGGCCCGGUACUGACGCUGAGGUGCGAAAGCGUGGGGAGCAAACAGGG
rnacentral:rRNA from 1 species